rnacentral:lncRNA from 1 species
AAGUCUUGUAGACCCAACCCCUGCUGCUGGAUGACAGGUUCCCGAACUGUCAACAUAAAUAACACCCAAUUAAUAAUUGGGUUCCAACACGAAAAAAAAAUCCAUGCUUGGGUAAAAGACUGCUUACCCCAAUCCUAGCUUGAUUCAAGCCCAAGGCCCAAUCCAAAGGCCCAACAGUCAACUAUGAGUCAAGGCCCAACAUAUGGCCCAAUUUUCCAAAUUGGGCCGAAACCUUUACAUGGCCUUAUUCUAAAGCCCAACCAAAAAGUAUAGUCCAAACAUUUGUCAUUUCUAAUGGCCCAAUAUCAUAUAAUCAUAAGGCCUAUUCUAUGGCCCAUUUUUCCAAAUUGGGCCCAAACCCUCAUAUGGGCCUUACACUAAAGCCCAUUAAAUUAUUUUAUUCUAUUUGCUUGUUCUUAGAUGGCACAUUAAUAACCCAAUUACCAAAGCCCAAAAGAAAGGCCCAAUUAAGAAUUAGGGUUUCUUACAUGAAAUGAUGAUUAAGGUUAAGUGUUCCUACUUAACCCAUUAAGGACUUAAUCCAUUAAGUCCCACAUGGCCUUAGGUUAAUUUACAAUGAUUAUUAAUUAAUGUUUUAAGUUCAUUAAAUAAUUCCGAUGCGGUCCCGAUAAGUCGCAAAUUAGGGUUUCAUGGCAUUAGGGUUUUCCAAACCCUAAUUAGGGUUUCCAACCCAUCUUAGCCCAAUAGGCCCAAUAGCUAGGUCCUUUGACCAAUUAGGGUUCAUUAGGCCCAUUAUGAUUUCACUAAGCCUGUUAGGGCUUCAUUGGGCCCAUUAGGGUUUCAAGCAUCCCAAAACGAAUCACAACACAAACGAGGCACACCGCCACCCGACACGGCGGCCAGUGGUGGGUUUGAGUUUCCCUUUUCAUUAUUCUGUCAUUGUGGCGACAGCAAGGACGAACCCAA